GGUGGGGGGGUCCUCAGCGCAGAGCGGUGUACGAGCGCCGAGCGGGAGCGCGCGUAUAGGAAGGAAGGGAAGGAAGGAGCUGAGGCAGAUCAGUCGCCAGCGGAGCCCAAGACGGCGGAUGAACGGAGCCGAGCGUGUGUGUCGCCCUUGUCGUUUUUUACAGCAGCUGAAAGCAGCGUCCGACAGCCCGAAACCUGCCCGAAAAUGAUGCUCAAACUCGUCCACCUCCUCUGGGUGCUCGUCUGCGGUAGUCAAGCAUGUUGUUGGGUGUAUGUUGAGAAGUGAGUCGUCAUGGCUCGGCACGCACCUGCACAAAGCAGCCGGACGCCUGAGCAGCAGGAGACAUCAGCUGUUCCCACCUCUGCAGGAGCCCCUCCACCCGUCACGCAGGGGACGUACAUCACUGUUUUGUAUGGAGCUUCCAUACAGGACGUCAUGGCAAAGUCAUCCUGCACCUGAGAUAAUUUAUAUUAUAAUGAAAGUUUCACUUUAUAUAACAAAUGUGUAAAUUCUG